ACAGUGAUGGAAAGAUGAAAAGAACUUUGAAAAGAGAGUGAAAAAGUACGUGAAAUUGUUGAAAGGGAAGGGCAUUUGAUCAGACAUGGCGUUUGCUUCGGCUUUCGCUGGGCCAGCAUCAGUUUUAGCGGUUGGAUAAAUCCUCGGGAAUGUGGCUCUGCUUCGGUAGAGUGUUAUAGCCCGUGGGAAUACAGCCAGCUGGGACUGAGGAUUGCGACUUUUGUCAAGGAUGCGGCGUAAUGGUUAAAUGCCG
rnacentral:rRNA from 1 species